CUUAGCAGCAUAGCCAAGUUCUCUCAAGAGGCUAAAGAUGCUGUGCGGAUUAUCAUGCCCCCCCCCGCCCCAUGCAAGGAUGACAUGCAAAUUCAUGGAUCAUUCACAUUGAGA
rnacentral:snRNA from 1 species